rnacentral:rRNA from 1 species
AACGAACGCUGGCGGCAUGCCUAACACAUGCAAGUCGAACGAGACCUUCGGGUCUAGUGGCGCACGGGUGCGUAACGCGUGGGAACCUGCCUUUAGGUUCGGAAUAACUCAGAGAAAUUUGAGCUAAUACCGGAUAAUGUCUUCGGACCAAAGAUUUAUCGCCUUUAGAUGGGCCCGCGUUGGAUUAGCUAGUUGGUGGGGUAGAGGCCUACCAAGGCGACGAUCCAUAGCUGGUCUGAGAGGAUGAUCAGCCACACUGGGACUGAGACACGGCCCAGACUCCUACGGGAGGCAGCAGUGGGAAUAUUGGACAAUGGGCGAAAGCCUGAUCCAGCAAUGCCGCGUGAGUGAUGAAGGCUAGGUGUAAGCNCUUUUACCCGAGAUGAUAAUAGACAGU